CCUAGAGUGGGAGUGCUCUCCUACCCUUCUUGUGUGUGACUAGCUACCUACUGUAACAACUUCCCUUUCAAGAGUCCAAGACCUCAAUUCUUUGGAGAAAAAUGGAUGAAGGUGCUGGAUAUUAGACCUUCGUCAGACACAUAGACCAGUGGAACAGAAUAGAGAACCCAGAAAUUAGAUCACUCAUCUUCAACCAUCCAAUCUUCGACAAACCUGACAAAAAGCAAUGGGGAAAGGACUCCCUGUUCAAUAAAUGGUGCUGGGAGAAAUGGCUGGCCAUAUUGUGUCUAGAAUUUAUUCCUUCCAGUGGGUUCUUGGUCUCGCUGGCUUCAAGAAUGGAGCCGCAGACCUUUGCAGUGAGUGUUACAGCUCAUAAAGGUGUUGCAGACCCAAAGAGUGAGCAGCAGCAAGAUUUACUGUGAAGAGCGAAAGAACAAAGCUUCCACAGCAUGGAAGGGCACUUUCCGCUGCUGGCUCAGGUGGCCAGCUUUUAUUCCCUUAUUUGGCCCCACCCACAUCCUGCUGACUGGUCCAUUUUACAGAGCCCUGAUUGGUCCAUUUUACAGAGUGCUGAUUGGUGUGUUUACAAUCCUUUAUCUAGACACUGAGCACUGAUUGGUGCGUUUUUACAGAGGGCUGAUCAGUGCGUUUAUUUUCCUUUAGCUAGACACAGAGCGCUGAUUGGUGCGUUUUUACAGAGUGCUGAUUGGUGCAUUGACAAUCCUUUAGCUAGACACAGAGUGCUGAUUGGUGCAUUUUUACAGAGUGCUGAUUGGUGCAUUUACAAUCCUUGAGCUAGACACAGAGCGCUGAUUGCGUUUACAAUCCUCUAGCUAGAUAGAAAAGUUCUCCAAGUCCCCACUUGACCCAGGAAGUCCAGCUGGCUUCACUUCUCAAUAUGUAGAAAAUUGAAACUGGACCCCUUCCUUACACCACAUACAAAUAUUAAAUCAAAAGAGAUUAAAAACCUAAAUGUAAAACUCAAAACUAAGAAAACCUUGAAAGACAGCUGAGGCAAUACCAUUCGGGACAUAGGCCAUGAGCAAAGAUUUCAUGAGAAAAAUGCCAAAGGCAACUGCAAGAAAACAAAAAAUUGACAAAUGGGACCUAACUAAACUGAAGAACUCUGCACAGCAAAAGAAACUGUCUGCAGAGUAAACAGACCACCUACAGAAUGGGAGAAAAUGUUUGCACUGAUUUACUUUCACAAAGUCAGUUUGUGAAAGAAAAAGAGAACAAGUGGAAUUUGAAAGGCAAUGGCUAAUUUCUUAUGCAUCAGUGAAGACAUUGGAAUCCAAUAGAGUUGAGUGCAAAGCCCACCCUGCCCCAAUUCUGUGCCUAUAAAGACCUCAGGCUCAGCCAGCAGAGAGGAAAAGUGGCUGGAUGUUGAGAGAGGCAGUUUGACUCCAGAGAUGGCAGCUGGAUGUCGGAAAGCAGCAACUUGACUUCACAAGAGAGAGGCAGAGGUGACUUAAUAUCAGAGGAGAGCAACCUGCCCUUCCCAUCCCCUUUCCAUCUCCCCUCUUGCUGAGAGCCGCUCUCGUCACGCAAUAAAAUUCACCACAUUCACCAUCCUUCAAUUUAUAUUUGCGACCUCAUUCCUCUUGGGCACCGGACAAGAAUUUGGGAUGCACCAAGUGUGGACACCCACAAAGGCUGUCACAGUGGCCCUUUGCCAUUGCCAGCAGAGGGCAGCUGCCCCAUGCAAUAAGCCAAAGGGCUGGCUGAGCUGAUAACACACUGCUUUCUGUGGACGGCGGCGGAGCUAAAAGAGUAUUGUAACAUGCCCUCUGGGGCCUUGGGGAACCCCACCUGGAUCCUGCCAAGAGGCCUGCAUGAAGUUUGCUCCUGCCAGCACUAAAGCAGCCAGUUUUUUCCUGCACUCACUCACCUGCACACUUCCUCCUGCGAUGGGUGGGACACAGUCAACCUGAGUGAGCAGAGUUUGCUCAUGCAGGCACCUAAAUUGCUGGCAAGUUCCUGAGCUCAUUCGCUUCAAUUCCCGUACUCAUUUGCAUGGGUGCUCCCUCCCACAAGGGGUUGAACAGGACAGGUUGAGUAAAUGGUGCACCCCUCUUUUGAGUCCCACCAAGGGUCAAGAAAAUAUCCUGCAUCACUUUGUCAACUUAUGCCACUUAAAGGACAUGCUGCCUACUUUAGACUUAUUUACAAGUUUGCAUAAUUUUUAGACAUAGACAACGCCGUUUAUCUCUGCAAUUACUAUCAAUUCUAACCUAGGAAGCACCAAGUUAAUGGCAAUAAAAAAAAAAAGAAUAAACAACUGUUUCCAGCAACAAGGUGACUGUACCAGUAAUUAAUUUAUUGCCUUCCAGAGGCAAAUUCACUAUUGCCUGUUCUGAGAAAAAGAAUCUGGGCCCUUCAAAUAGCUGCCAGAAUGUAAAAACUUGCCAGCAGAUGGUGGUGGAGAGAUGCUGGAGGUGGAAGGGAUUUCAUCCCAGGUCUGGUAUGCUCCCUCAUCAGGCUCUCACAGUGGAACACACCUUCUCCAACACCUGGCUCCUGUUCAGCAGCACCCAGAGACCAUCAGCUUCCUUUUGCACUCCUUUCAGAUAAUUUAGCAGUUGAGUCUCUCUGGAAAAAUCAAUAGCUUUCCAUGACACCCCAGAGGAUGAAUCUCCUGCCUGCCCAAAAGGCAUAUUUUCAGCAAUUUCUUCCAGUACAGCCCCACUGCAACUACUCUGCCACCCAGUGAGAGCCACAUUCUCUUUUCUUUUUUUUCUUUUUUUUAAUUUUUGAUUUCCAACUUUUAAGCUCAAGGGAACAUGUUCAGGAUAUAGAGUGUGCAGUUUGGUACAUAGGUAAACAUGUGCCUUGUGGUUUGCUGCACAGAUCAUCCCAUCACCUAGGUAUUAAGCCCAGCAUCCAUUAGCUGUUCUUCCUGAUGCUCUCCCUCCUCCCAUGCCCCACCCUCCAACAGGCCCUAGUCUGUGUUGUUCUCUCCCCGGCAAUUCCUCAAAGACUUAGAGGCAGAAAUACCAUUUGACCCAGCAAUCCCAUUAUUGGGUAUAUACCCAAAGGAAUAUAAAUCAUUCAAUCAGGAACAUAUACGCAUGUGUACGUUCACUGCAGCACUAUUCACAAUAGCAAAGACAUGGAAUCAACCUAAAUGUCCAUCAAUGAUAGACUGGAUAAAGAAAAUAUGGUACAUACACACCAUGGAAUACUAUGCAGUCACAAAAAGGAAUGAGAUCAUGUCUUUUGUAGGGACAUGGAUGGGGCUGGAAGUCAUUAUCCUCAGAAAACUAAUGCAGGAACAGAAAAACCAAACAGUGCAUGUUCUCACUUAUAUGUGGGAGCUGAGUGUUGAGAACACAUGGACACAUGGUAGUGAGCCACAUUCUUACCCUUUCCAAUAAGGCUUGAAUCUCAUCUUGGUAGGGAGGGAGCAGUCUUACUGGAUGCUGUAUUUCAGCACCAGGGAUUGGAGAACACUCCCUCACUUUUGCAUCAGCUAAUCCUGUACUCUAUAAAAUUCUUUUCAUUUAUUACAAUCCUAUUCCUCCAUACACAAAUCUCCUGUUAAAAUUAAUAACUUUUAUAUCAAACUUCCUCUGUUCACAUUACUGUGUUGGUUUCUCCCUCCUGAUUGGAUCACAACUGAUACAAUUGGGUUAAAUACUUUUUCAUAAAAUAAAUUAUUAAAUCCAUUCCUUUAGUGUGUAAGUAUUUAGAGUUUACAAAUUACUGAGAUUUAAUUCUACAAAUUAUACAUAUUUACAAUCUAGGUGAAGGCACUCAAGAGAUAUUUAAACAUUUCCCCUCUAAGACAUCAGUUUAAAGAAAGACAGAAAGAAAGAAAGAAAGAAAGAAAGAAAGAAAGAAAGAAAGAAAGAAAGAAAGAAAGAAAGAAAACCCUUUGCUAGCACAAAACAGUCCCCAAAACCUUACUGUUGGGGUUGAGAAACUGAUACCUCCUAUGGCACUUUGGAAUGCUGAGUACUUUGAAUCAAAGGAGUUGAAAGACCAUAGAAGCAACUUCAGAACCAAUGUCACUCUGACCUCCUGCUCUUCUGUCUCUUACCCUCUUUCUCCUGCAAUAGUGCAAGGAGGGGCUCUCCCUGAACUUUCCUUAUCUGUCUAAAGAUUGGCCCUCUAGAAAGAAUACACUUGUCAUGAGUGUUUUUCCUGGGAAUCUCAUCAGCCAGGGAAAAGUAAAAGUAUCACAGGGGAGGAAACUGAAAGUUGACAACAUGCCCAGGCAGAUUUUAUCACAGACUAUCGCCUCUUUUUCUGAGACUGUUUAUUACCUGAAAGACCUUUUGUUUGCAUAACAAGACAACCUUUGUUCACCCUGCAUUUUCUCCCCUCACUCUCCCAUAACUUGUGUCACCACCAACCCUAGAAUCCCCAGGCCUGUAUUCCUUUCUUCAGCUCAAGAUGUUAUAUAUGUUUCAAUCAUCUGCCCCCUUUUCAAGUCUCAUAUUUUGUGGGACUCCUAUGUGUAUGCAAAUAAUUAAAAUGUUUUUUUCUCCUGUUAGUAAUUAUCAAACCUUCAGAGGAUAAAGAAAGUUUCCUUUCUCUAUAUUAAUAAUCUCUAGUCCCAACAUUCCAUUCCUCAUUCCCCAGCAUUCACACACACAUUUCCAUGCUGCUUUUCAACAAAAAGUUUUAUUUCCUGCAGUGUAGCAAAAUAACAUGAUUCUAAGUUCUCUUUUAUAAAAUCUGUUAGCUAUUAUAAUUCCUUCACUCACUUUCCCCUUUGUAAUAAAUUUUUCCCCAUCCAUUAAAAUAAUAUGGGCUUAGUAGAAUGCUUAAAAAAUAAAGAUCCACAUGAAAAAUUUAAAGUCAUGUAUAAACAUAUAAUUUAGUGAUAAUUAGUGUUAACAUUUUGGCUCAUUUUCUCUUUGCCUUUGUAAAAUUACAUUAGUCUUGGAUUUGUUUCUUUUCCUACCCCUAUCACAAAAGAUGCUCCUCUUCAUCCAUGGUUACUAUUUUAGUGUGCCCUAAAGGAUAUCACAGCUGAUAUGUCAGGCUACAGUUGUAACUUCCCUAAAAUUAUGACCUUCUUCUAUCGUUGAUGUUGUCACCACGUGGUAAUGAAAUCUUAGGAUAUUAUAAAUAGUUUGGUAUUUGAUUCUCAUAUUUAAUAAUGAAUCUAGAGAUUUCAGGGAAGAAAUAAAGUUGAUAUUGUUUGGAUAUUUGUUCCCUUUAAAUGUCAUCUUGAAAUUUGAUCCUCAGUGUUGGAGGUGGAGCUUAGUGAAAGGCAUCUAGGUCAUGCAGCACUCCUAGCACCUCCAAGGUCUGCUUUUUCAAAAGAGUCUGGAGCCUCCCUUUAUUCACUUUUUCCUUCUCUCUCACCGUGUGUUGGUUUCUCUCCUUUCCCUUCUGCCAUGAGUGAAAACUUUCUGAAGCCCUCAUCAGAAGCAGAUGCUGGUACCAUGCUUGCACAGCCUGCACGAGUGUAAGCCAAAUAAACCUCUUUUCUUUAUAAAUUCCUCAGCCUCAUAGUAUUCCUUUACAGCUAUGCAAAUGGACUAAGACAAGAGUUGAUCCCCUUCAACCACACAGAAAAAGACUUCCACUUUGUUGAAUUUGCUUCAUUUACAAACAAAACUCUAAUAAUAAUAGUAUACAGAGAAUUAAAGAAUACAAUUGAUCAUAUGCACUGACUUAGAAAAGGAAUGCACAUGGGAUGGCAAAAUAGAGAAGGCUUCUUGUGAGUGUGUGGGGGAGGCAGGAUAGGGUUAUCUGGGUCUUUAAAAAAACACUUGACUUAAGCAGAGAGGGCUAUGAGAGGGCUUAAUAAAAGUACAGAGGUAGAAAUACAGAAGAGGUAUAAAAAUAACAAAUAGUCUUAUGUGAUUACAACUUGACAUAUGUAAUUUAGCGGAAGCAUUUUCUACUUCUGAAACAAAUUAUGAUUAACACUUCCUGUAAUAGGUUUAUAAUUAUGUAAACCUAUUUAAAUCAAUCAUUUGCACAACAAAAUGAAUGAAUUAAUUUGUUGCAGCUGUGUUUACUGAGGCACACAUGUAAAGCAAUUUUAAAUGCUGUCAAGUAACAAUGAUUUCGUUUCAUGACUCACACUAAGUGAGAAAUUCUGAUUUUUUUAAGACAAAGUUUAAAAAAUCAAAAACUUAAAACUCCUGGAACUAAAAGCAUAGAAGAAAAGCUUCAUGACAUAGGACAUGACAAUGUGUUCUCACAUAUGACACCAAAGCACAGGGAAAGAAAGCAAAAGUAGAAAAGGGACUAUAUCAAACUCAAAAACUUUUGUGCAUUGAAGGACACACCUAACAGCCUGAAAAGGCAACCUAUGGAGUAGGAGAAAAUAUUUGCAAAUCAUAUAUAUCUAUACAUAUAUAUGGAUAUGAUAGUAAAUUGUUAUACAGAAAAUAUAAAAAGAACUUCUAUAACUCAAUAACAAAAAUCAAAUAACUUAUUUUUUUAAAUGGGCUAAGGACUUGAAUAGAUAUUUCUCCAAAAGUAAUACGCAAAUGGACCACAGUCAUAUAAAACAAAUAUUUGACAUCAUAAAUAAUUAGGGAAAUGCAAGUUAAAAUCACAAGAUAUCAUCUUACAUUCACUAGUAUGACUGCUAUCAAAAAAAUGAAACAAAACAGAAAAUAACAAAUGUUAGUGAGAAUGUGGAGAAAUUGGAACCCUAGUACACUGUUGGCGGGAUUGUGCAACCACUAUGCAAAAAUUAUAAAAAAUUAAAAAUAGAACUACCAUAUUACCCAACAAUUCCACAUCUGGGAUUUUAACCAAUACUUUUAACCAAAAGUAUUGAAAGAAGAGUCUCAAAGAGAUAUUUGAACACUCAUGUUUAUAGAAGCACUAUUUAAAACACCAACAAGUAGAAGCAGCCCAAAUAUCCAUUGACAAGUGAAUGGAUGAAGGAAAUGUAGUAUAUACACAUACAAUGGAAUAUUAUUCACCCCUAAAAAGGAAAUCUUGUCACAUACUACAGCAGGGAUAAGCCUGAAUGAUAUGCUAAAUAAAUAAGCCAGUCACAAUAAGACAAAUACUGUAUGAUUCAACUUCUAUAAAAUGGUGAUUACUAGGGACUGAGGUGAAAAAGUUCUAGAUAUAUGUAUUACAACAAGUUGAAUAUACUUAAAACUACUGAAUUGCACUCUUAAAAUGAUUAAAAUGAAGAAAAUACAUGUUUUUAACUACAAUUUAAUUUUUUUUAAAUCACAAAUUUAGUGAUAGGUAUGUGGCUUUAUAGAUGUUUUAAUCCAAACUUCACAUUUUAACAAUAAAAGUACUAGGACCUUAGAAGAUGGGUGACUGGUUUCAGAUUAUCCAGUCAAGAUGAAAAUUUAUGCCUUCCAAAUUACCACAUCUUAGGUGUCUUCAUCUGCUAGCUUAAUCCCAGGUUGUUCCUGGACUAUCUCUACAUCAAGCAGUGAAAGCUUAACUCCCUUCAUGUUUUACGAUGGAUAAAUAUGUGAGGUGAAAAUCAAGAGGCUAGCAUUGACCCAAUGUACAUCAUCUAUCAAGGAGACAAUGUUCGUUUGUUCUUUGAUGAAUCUCUAAGACAACAUUGUCAUGAUUUUGUUUUCAUCACACAUUUGCAUUAGGU
rnacentral:tRNA from 10 species